AUGGAUUUGGGUUUAAUGAGGGAUUGUGGAGUGGGGGCUGGGUUGUUGACGGUUGUGAAGGGUGAUUACGCGGCGGUGAGAGGCGGAUGGAAGGAGGGGCGGCGCGGCUGGAAUCUGGGUGGAACAGAAUCUGGGUGGAACGGUGGAAGCAGACGUUUUGUGGAGGGGGAUGAGAGGAGAGGAAGGGAAUUGAUUUUUUUGUUACGUGAGAGAGGGAUUUAUGGAUGGUGGGGAGAUAUGAAGAACAAAAUCAAUUUAGAUUCCUCUGUUGAAAAGUUUUUAACGCUUUUUGAUGAUGGAGAGAGGAAGCUUGGUGAUGUUUAUGAUUUUAUAUUUUUUCAUUCUGGAAAAGUCAUGAAGAAACGAGAGAGAGGGGAGUAA